CCCUGGUGGGUUUGUGGCUGUGGUUGCUUUGGGGCCCUGGUGGUGGGACCCGGGGCUUGUGAGGUGGGUCUUGGUGGGUGCAUGCCCCCUGUGGCAGUGAUGACCCAUUCGAAUGCCCUGUCAACUUUUGAUGGUAGUUGCCAUGCCUACCAUGGUGACCAUGGGUGAUGGGAAAUCAGGGGUUCUAUUCUGGAAAGGGAGCCUGAGAAACAGCUACGACAUCCAAGGAAGGCAACAGGUGCUCAAAUUACCCACUCCCGAUCCAGGGAGGUAGUGACGAAGAAUAACAAUACAGGACUAUUUUGAGGCCCUGUAAUUGGAAUGAGUCCACUUUAAAUCCUUUAACGAGGAUCCAUUGGAGGGCAAGUCUGGUGCCAGCAGCUGUGGUAAUUUGAGCUCCAAUAGCGUGUAUUAAAGUUGCUGAAGUUAAAAAGCUUGUAGUUGGAUUUUGGGAGCAGCCGGGCCGUCCGCCGUGAGGCGAGCCACUUCCCUGCCCAUCCCUGCCCCUUGCCUCUUGGUGUCCCCUCGAUGCUCUUAGCUGAGUGUCCCACGGGGCCUGAAGUGUUAACUUUGAAAAAAUUAGUGUUCAAAGCAGGCCUGAGCCACCUGGAUACCACAGCUAGGAAUAAUGGAAUAGGACUGUGGUUCUAUUUUGUUGGUUUUCGGAAGGGAGGCCAUGAUUAAGAGGGAUGGCUGGGGGCGUUUGUAUUGCCCCGCUAGAGGUGAAAUUCUUGGAACGGCGCAAGACGGACCAGAGCGAAAGCAUUUGCCAAGAGUGUUUUCAUUGAUCAAGAACGAAAUUGGAGGUUCGAAGAUCAGUUACUGUUGUAGUUCUGACCAUAAAUGAUGCUGACUGGCAAUGUGGCGGCAUUAGUCCCAUGACCCGCUGGGCAGCUUCUGGGAAACCAAAGUCUUUGGGUUCCAGGGGGAGUAUGGUUGCAAAGCUGAAACAAAGGACUUGAUGGAAGGGCACCACCAGAGUGGAGGCUGCAGCUUAAUUUGACUCAACAUGGGAAACCUCGCCUGGACACGGACAGGAUUGACAGAUUGAUAGCUCUUUCUCGAUUCUGUGGGUGGUGGUUCAUGGCUGUUCUUAGUUGGAGCGAUUUGUCUGGUUAAUUCUGAAAACGAAUGAGACUCUGGCAUGCUAAUUAGUUACAUGACCCCUAAGCGGUCGGUGUCCCCCAACUUCUCAGAGGGACAAGUGGCAUUCAGCCCCCCGAGACUGAGCAAUAACAGGUCUGUGAUGCCCUUAGAUGUCCGGGUCUGCACGUGUGCUACACUGACUG
rnacentral:rRNA from 1 species